UACGGGGGGAGCAAGCGUUGUUCGGAUUUACUGGGCGUAAAGGGCGCGUAGGCGGUCGUGACAAGUCACUUGUGAAAUCUCCGGGCUUAACUCGGAACGGUCAAGUGAUACUGUCGGACUAGAGUACAGAAGGGGCAACUGGAAUUCUCGGUGUAGCGGUGAAAUGCGUAGAUAUCGAGAGGAACACCAGUGGCGAAGGCGAGUCCCUGGACAAAACCUGACACUGAGGCACGAAAGCUAGGGGAGCAAACAGG
rnacentral:rRNA from 1 species